UGAAAAAAUUGAGACUGACACAUGGUGUGCUUUCAGUUCUCUAUCAUUAAUGAAUUCUCGUUGUUACAAGCCAACAGGUAGAUAAAGCAAAACCUCUUCCCCAGGUCUGUCAGCAACUUGGCCCAAUCAGCAGCUUCAUCUUCAGUCUCUGGAGGCAGGACUUCCCGUGUAAAGGAACUUGUAGAGAGGCGUGGCUAUAUGUGGCAAGGCGGGUCUGACAGAAUCAGCUCUCAGCUGUAGAAGGGUCACAGGGUAUUUAUAUGACUGUGAUGAGGCUCUGAUGAACUUUGGGAGAAUCAUUUAUGUUCCAUAAUCCUGGGGGAAAGUAUCAAAGACCAAGCUACCACCUCUGCAUUCUAAGACAUCUUCCUAGAGCUCUCAUUAUAGGAGUGAACAUCAAGUGCUACAAUAAAUGAAAUGCAACAAAGUUGUGGUUCUGAGAAGACAAGUCUGAAACUAUUACUUUGGAUGAAAGCCAAGUAUAGGAGGGUAUUUUUCCUUUCUUCUCCUGGCCUUUUGUGAUGCUAAUGUUUCUUGACAGCCUUCCCUGAGGCGGUUUGAAUGAGAAUGGCCCCCACUGGCUUACAUAUUUGAAUGCUUGGUGAUGGGGAGGGAUUAAGAGGUGUACCCUUGUUGAAUUAGCUAUAAUCUUGUUGAAGUGUGUCACUCGGGGUAGGGCCCAAGUCAGGGGGCCCAAAGUCAUGGGGCUGAAGGAGAUGGCUCAGCAGUUAAGAGCACUAGCUGCUCUUCCAGUGGACCCUGGUUCAAUUCCCAGAAUCUAUACAGCAGCUCAUAAUUGUCUAUAACUC